CGUUUGAAAACGUUUUCCAGAAUAUAAAAUGCUCCUUGAUUUGAAAACGCAAAGUAGAAAAAACAAAAAUGGAGUUACUGAAAUUUUCGAAGUUGAAGCUUCAACUACAAUCUCUCAUAACCGAAGUUCGAGAUCUCAGGGACAGAGAACGUUCCGCCACUCAACAACACCAUCUUCUAAUCCAGAAGCAGAAGCGGACUGAGGAAGAGUGGAGUAGAAAGAUACAGGAAUUGCAGGGUGAAUUGGCUUUUGUUAAAGAAGAGAGACAGAAAUUGGAGAGAAAGGUGAAUUAUGUACAGAAUGAUAAUAUGAUGCUUGAGAAUAAGCAGAAAGAGUUGAAGGGAACAUUGAAUAGCUUACUUCAGUCCAGGGAAAAUUUUGUGAUUGCUUACGAGGAAUCUACUUCUCAUUUAAAACGUUCAAUUGAAAACAAAGAUAGGAUGCUUAGUGUCCUCUCAGAGAAGAUAAAUUCUCAUCUACUAUUAUUUGAUUCUAUAGAGAAGGAGGUGUUUUAUAUCAAGCAUAUUCUGGAUAAAGUCCAGAACAUUGUCAAAGAUAAAGAAGAAGUUGUGACCAGCUUGAAAAACAAAAUGAACCAGGUCUCAGCAUUUGAAAAAGAAUUUGUUGAACAUAUCACAGACCUAAGAAACAAACUGGAAAACAAAGAGGCCGAGUCAAGAAAAAAGGAUAGAGUCAUCUCAGAACUUGAAGCAAAGCUGGACGGGGCUAAAAUUAGCAACAAUAACCAAGCUCAAAUAGAAGAUCUUCAGAAAACUAUAUUGGCAAAGGAUGCAGAGAUACAUAAUUUAAUUUCAGACAAAGAGGCUUUACAUAAUGAAGUUGGAAGCUUAAGACUCAUCUUACAGAGGUUUCAGGGCACUAUUACUAAUAUGAAUGAAGAGGACAAAAAGUUAUUCUCGUCAAUUUUGCAACCUAAAGAAGCAUCUGCAACAGAUAUGAAGAUAGACGUUUAUCCAAGAAAAAGAGAUAUGAAGAUAGAAGAUAUUAGGACGGAAGAUUUUGUUCAAAAUAAUGAAGAGAAAUCACAAGAACCUACUUGAUUGUUGUAUAAUAAGGCACAGGUUUGUAGUCUUUCAAUUCUGUUUUGAAACACUUAAGGCAUAGUAGUUUGACCUGCUUAUACAAACAACAACUGAGAUUGUUUGCGAUUGUUUAGCUACAUGAGAAACAAUAACUUUAAACUAUAGCGGUCAAAAUGAAACAACAUAAUUUUCAUGGAGAUUUUUUCUUAUUCUUUUGUUUUAUACUUCUGUUAGCAAAUACUAGCAAUUGGUUAGUACGCAUAGUCUGCAAAUAACCAAAGCAGCAUAAAAAUUACAGUUUUCUGCAAUGGAUCUUUGUGAAGGAAGAUUCUUAGGUUAGUUGUUUGUUGCAUAACUUGUCAUGUAUUCCUCGAAAGUUUUUGGAAAAAAGGGUAAAAUAAUUUUGUUUGCUUAGUUUUGCAAAGUGAGUUUGGUUUCCUAGAGUGGUUCUAAGACCCAAAAAAAAAAAUGAACAGCAUUCAUGUGCUGAAAAUGUUUAGUCAAUGCCGAUUUAUGACGAAAUCUAGGAGAAGCUAUUAUUAUAUACCAAUAAAGGUUGUGGUUGGCACUUGGCAUAUUAGUGCAAAAGGUCCUCCGUUGAGUGAGGAAUUUCAGAUUGGGUAGUCAUAAUUGUAACUAUUAUCUGUAUCUUGUGAUGGAGGAAAACAAAAGAUGUAAUGAUUAGACAGCCAGUGGGAUAAGAAUCUUUGCUUGAAAUAAUUUUAAGAAAUGAAAGGUUUGAAAAGUAAUUAUUGACUUAUUUCAUUAUGUAAGGGAAACAUCUGUCAUUACAUAUUAAAAUCUAUGGACAGAACAGUUAAACUAUGAUGAGUCACAGGCAUGGAGUAUUCUGCUUGACCCCACUGGUGGUCAUCACUCUGAAUUUGGCCGGGGACAUUUGGUUUUUGAAAAGAAUUUUUAGCUUAAUUUCAGGUUAAUUUUGUCAGUGAUCUAAUUUAGGCAAAAUGUCAGUCUCUACUCUCUAUUUUCAAGGCAAUUGUUGUAGGCAUUUGCUUACUUGAAUACUAAAAAUAUUUUGGUCUGACCAUGUACUUUUGAGACCAAAUGUGUUAAUAGAAUGAUUCACUGGCUAUAUGCCUGCUUAUUCUGCUGGCUUGCUUCAAUCUUCUUUGGCAUCUUACAACCAACUAUAUCUCUAAGGACUGACAGAAAGGAAACUGUCAAAAGGUAUAUGGUGAGGGGCAACUUAGAUGUGGAUUUUUCAUCUCAUAAUGAACAUAUGGGAUUCAACCUUUGUUUACCCGAUGAUUGGGAGAGUUCUUGGUGGCUAAAACUAUAGGCAAUGUCAAUCAUUAACAGUCAAUGAAGGUGAAGCCAUAGGUUUGUGGUAUGCUAUGAAAUGGACAUUCGAGCUAUAGAUUCACAUCGUUUUUGAACUAAAUUCAAAAAUCCUGGUAGAUAAUAUCAAUUAUCCAAGGGUCGAUGAUGAUUCAGAGUUUGGUGCCAUUAUUAGUCAAUGUAGACAACACUUAGGUUUUUGGUUCACUCGUUUUUCUGUUGAGUUUGUGAGGCGAUAAACAAAUAUAGUUGCUCAUUCUAUUACUAUAGUUGUCAUAUUGCUGUCAAGUUUUUAAUGUAGUUACCGGUUGUAUUACCCAUCUCAUUCAUUUGGAAAUGCAACAGAACCUUUUCAGUAAAAAACUAUCAUAUUGGAUAUUUAUAUCAAGUUCUUUUAAAACAUUAUGAAAUUUCAUUGUUAAUUACUUUGUAAUUUAAGUACAAAUUAUUCAAUAAGUUAUAUUACUCGUAGUAUUUGAUAGUUUGGAGGGACAAGAAGAGAAUAACUUUGAGGAUGAAGGGGGGAGAAAGAUAGUAGCAAGGAAGAGUAGUCAUCCAUAAGGAAUUCAAUAGGAUUCUCGCGAACUUAACUGAG